AACGAACGUUGGCGGCAGGCUUAACACAUGCAAGUCGAACGCCCCGCAAGGGGAGUGGCAGACGGGUGAGUAACGCGUGGGAACAUACCCUUUUCUACGGAAUAGCUCUGGGAAACUGGAAUUAAUACCGUAUACGCCCUACGGGGGAAAGAUUUAUCGGGGAAGGAUUGGCCCGCGUUGGAUUAGCUAGUUGGUGGGGUAAAGGCCUACCAAGGCGACGAUCCAUAGCUGGUCUGAGAGGAUGAUCAGCCACAUUGGGACUGAGACACGGCCCAAACUCCUACGGGAGGCAGCAGUGGGGAAUAUUGGACAAUGGGCGCAAGCCUGAUCCAGCCAUGCCGCGUGAGUGAUGAAGGCCUUAGGGUUGUAAAGCUCUUUCACCGAUGAAGAUAAUGACGGUAGUCGGAGAAGAAGCCCCGGCUAACUUCGUG
rnacentral:rRNA from 1 species